ensembl:lncRNA
AAAUCUGUGUUAAAGACAUGAAGACCAGAACAAUGUGGGCCAGAGCUGUUUGGAGGGAAGGUGAUGCUGAAAUGGAGGACGUUAUACCAUCCUGUUGGAUGAAGAAUGGCUGUGUUUUAUGGCCUGAUCAAGGGGCAAAAAAAGCCAUCAAAACCUUCAAACAACCUGAUGAUGGAUGGAUGACAUUUCCUCUGUUAAAAGUAAAAUUUCAGUCGGAUAACCGAAAGGAUUGUGACGACUAUGAUUUUACAACCACUGCUGAAUUGAGUUGCCCAGAGGAAGAGAAGAUUUCUGAGAAGAGGCAGCCAAAAAAAAAGUGCUACCCUGACUAUGAAAUGGGUGACUUUCCUGAUGGUGAGGUGAAACAAUGUGAAGAAGCAGCUGUUGCUGAACCCCAAGCUUAUCAGCACACAAAUGAUUUUCCUCCUCUUCCCCAUGUGCCCGAAAAAGUUAAGAAGAAUGUAAAUUCUUUUUGGGAAAAAGGGGGUACUGUUGCCAUCCAUCCUACCCAAAGCAGUCCUUCUGGACCAUUCAUAUACAGCCCCAGCAAGACUCUCUCUCAUGGCAAAGGAAGCCCCAGUAAAAAGUCACUCUUACAUGGCAGAAGAAGCCCCAGCAAGACUCUCUCUCGCGGCAGGAGAAGCCCCAGCAAGACACUCUCACAUGGGAGAGGGAGCCCCAGUAAGAAGUCACUCUCACGCGGCAGAAAAAGCCCCAGCAAGACUCUCUCUCAUGGCAGAGGAAGCCCCAGUAAGAAGUCACUCUCACGCGGCAGAAGAAGCCCCAGCAAGACUCUCUCUCAUGGCAGAGGAAGCCCCAGUAAGAAGUCACUCUCACGCGGCAGAAGAAGCCCCAGCAAGACUCUCUCUCAUGGCAGAGGAAGCCCCAGUAAGAAGUCACUCUCACGCGGCAGAAGAAGCCCCAGCAAGACUCUCUCUCAUGGCAGAGGAAGCCCCAGUAAGAAGUCAGUCUCACGCGGCAGGAGAAGCCCCAGUCGGUCCUCCUCACACAGCAAGCAGCGAAGCCCCAGCCGGUCACUCUCAUCACAUGGCACGAGAAUCCCCAGCCCUUCCCCAUCACUCAUUAAGAAAAGAAGCCCCAAAAAGUCUCUCUCAACACAUGACUGUAAAAGCCACAGCAAAUCUCUCUCAUAUGCCAGAAGAAGCCCCAGUAAGUCUCUCUCAACGCAUCGCAGUAGAAGCCACAGCAAAUCUCUCUCAUAUGACAGAAGCCCCAGCAAGUCCCUCUCACAAAGCUGUAACUGGAGUCCACCUGAAUACCUGUCAGGUAGACAGUUGAGUUCCUCAGACAGUCCGUCAUGCAGCAUGUCUGCAUCUCGUGAUGAAUUCCAAAAUGACAGUAAGAGGAAGAGAAAAAGGGGUUUACAGAGAAACCACAGCCAGCAUCUGAGUAGACACCCACAUAAGCCCAGCAAGAGAGUAAGGUCCGUGAGUGCAGAUGAGGACAGGGAGAGAUUGGAGCCUGCUAACUCCAGUAUUUUCCAAAAGGCCUCAACACCAAAAUUUAAGACAUCAAACUUUCCUCUGUCAGAGGAAAAAUUCCAGAGGAAAGUUCUUCAAAUGCUGAUUGAUAUAAGAGAUUCUGUAAAAAUCGCAAUCAGAACAAUGGAUGGGACUGCAUUUAAUCUGAAGCAAGCCAACAGUCUGAACGAGUUGCAAGAAUUGGAGUCUCGUUUGCUAGAUAAAAAUGAAAGAGCAGCCUUGGUGAGUUUUAUCUGAUCAAUGCAAUCAAUCCAAUUCUUAAGACAAAUUAUUAUUCCCAAAGAUUGAAGGGUUUGUUCAUCAGUAAAUCUGUUUAUAAUUUAAAGUGAUUGUCUUUUAAGAAGAUUGUGUCUUUUAUUUUAUUGAUAUAAUUUGUUUGCAAUAAUAAGGCUCACAUUUUUUGUUGUUGUAUAUUUUAAUCUUUGGUCAUCAAAUAAAAUCAAACCAAUAAUUUCUUUACCA